CCUUUGAUAGCUCAGCUGAUAGAGUGGAGGACUGUAGAUCCUUAGGUCGCUGGUUCAACUCCAGCUCAAAGGA